rnacentral:tRNA from 1 species
GGCUUAGUAGUCUAGUGGUAUGAUUCUCGCUUAGGGUGCGAGAGGUCCCGGGUUCAAUUCCCGGCUGAGCCC